GAGUUUGAUCCUGGCUCAGAAUCAACGCUGGCGGCGUGCCUCAGAUAUGCAAGUCGAACGAUUAAAUUUUCCUUCGGGAAAGAUAUAAAGUGGCGCACGGGUGAGUAACGCGUAGGUAAUGUACCUUUGGGUGGGGAAUAACUUAGGGAAACUUAAGCUAAUACCGCAUAUUGCAGCGGCUCCUUCGGGAGACAGUUGCUAAAGAUUUAUCUCCUUAUUUUCCCCU
rnacentral:rRNA from 1 species